UUAUCGGAGAGUUUGAUCCUGGCUCAGGACGAACGCUGGCGGCGUGCCUAAUACAUGCAAGUCGAGCGGACAGAUGGGAGCUUGCUCCCUGAUGUUAGCGGCGGACGGGUGAGUAACACGUGGGUAACCUGCCUGUAAGACUGGGAUAACUCCGGGAAACCGGGGCUAAUACCGGAUGGUUGUUUGAACCGCAUGGUUCAAACAUAAAAGGUGGCUUCGGCUACCACUUACAGAUGGACCCGCGGCGCAUUAGCUAGUUGGUGAGGUAACGGCUCACCAAGGCAACGAUGCGUAGCCGACCUGAGAGGGUGAUCGGCCACACUGGGACUGAGACACGGCCCAGACUCCUACGGGAGGCAGCAGUAGGGAAUCUUCCGCAAUGGACGAAAGUCUGACGGAGCAACGCCGCGUGAGUGAUGAAGGUUUUCGGAUCGUAAAGCUCUGUUGUUAGGGAAGAACAAGUACCGUUCGAAUAGGGCGGUACCUUGACGGUACCUAACCAGAAAGCCACGGCUAACUACGUGCCAGCAGCCGCGGUAAUACGUAGGUGGCAAGCGUU
rnacentral:rRNA from 1 species